rnacentral:tRNA from 1 species
GCCGAAGUGGCGAAACUGGUAGACGCACGGGACUCAAAAUCCCGCGGUAGCGAUACUGUGUCGGUUCGAAUCCGACCUUCGGCA